rnacentral:rRNA from 1 species
CAUCGAAUCUCAGCUUGGUAAGGAUACCCGCUGAAUUUAAGCAUAUAAUUAAGCGGAGGAAAAGAAAAUAACCAUGAUUCCCUCAGUAAGGGCGACUGAAGCGGGAAGAGCUCAUUCUGUGAAUCUGCACUGGUCUCCGGUGCCGAGUUGUGGAAUG